rnacentral:rRNA from 1 species
UACGUAGGGUGCGAGCGUUGUCCGGAAUUAUUGGGCGUAAAGAGCUCGUAGGCGGCUUGUCGCGUCGGAUGUGAAAGCCCGGGGCUUAACUCCGGGUCUGCAUUCGAUACGGGCAGGCUAGAGUUCGGUAGGGGAGAUCGGAAUUCCUGGUGUAGCGGUGAAAUGCGCAGAUAUCAGGAGGAACACCGGUGGCGAAGGCGGAUCUCUGGGCCGAUACUGACGCUGAGGAGCGAAAGCGUGGGGAGUGAACAGG